GUUUCUGUUAUUCCAACUAUAUCACAUCUACCUCCAUGUAUUAAUAGUUCAAGUUCACCCUGUUUGUUCCCCAGACUUUGUGCAUUUGUAUAUGGGCACUUGAGAUCUUUAUGUCUGACUCUGGGUAUGCUUCCUAUGUGUCCUAUUCGGUGUUUGAGUUUGUGUUCCUUCCCAUCCCUCCUUACUUCAUUAUUUGACUUGCUUUCUAGGGGUUUUUGCUUAGAAUUAGGUCCUGGAGAUCCUAAAGAUUGGUCACCCUCCCCCCUCAAUUUUUGUUUAAAGCCCUUCUGAUAAGUUGAGCCAUGGAGAAGAGGAAGCAA